CGUCGUUGCGAAUGGGCGGAGAUUGUUCGAAUCUCUGGGCAGUGAAUUCAUUUCCGUUAGUAAACGUAAUUUCUGGGUUUGGAGUUUAGAUUGUUAUUACUAAAUUGCGGAAUCGAUCAGUGUGUAAAGGGUAUUUGUAGAGGAUUAUUCUUUAUAAUAUACUUUUUAACCGAACAAGUUUGCAGAGGGUGGUUUAGGUUCUAAGGAAUUAUCAAACUGAUUAAUUUGCGAAGUGUAGUUUAUAAAGCGCAGUUCUGAGUGGAAAAAUUCUAAAAUUCAUUAAUUUGUGGAGCACAGCGUAUAGAAUUUACGGAUACGGUUCCUAAAUGAAAAUAUUUUAGAAUUCAUCACUUUGCAGAGGCCAAUUACAUAUAUAAAAUUAUCAUAUAUAUCGUCAAAUAUAUAAAAUUUAUCUGAUUGUUUACGUUAAAUAUCGUUUUAUAUAAAAAUCUUGCGAUUAAUUAAUAUGUAUGCAGCUCGUGGGAUUCGAUUUUAAUUAAAAAGAAAUCCUGCAAUCGACUAGUUUGUAAACGGCAAUUCAUAGAGUUUACGCUACUUUAGCGAAACAAAUCCUGAAAUUCUUUGCUUACCAUUGUAAAGCUUUUUUUUAAAUGAAAAAUGUCGUGCAAUUAACCAGUUCGUAGAUGGCAGUUUAAAGACCUUAUGGGCCGUUUGUUUGACGUUUUGGUACGAAAUCGUAUAGCUACUGUACCUGUUAUGCAAUGGUACGGUUUUAUCGCGAGAACAUUCGCCAGGUUGGCGUAUCAGCAACGUGGAAAUGCUCACGGUAGUUCUGAAAUAUGAUCGACCCGCGCAACAAUUUACUCGCGAUAUUAUCUCACGGCAAAUAGGCUAGAAGACGUAGAGGUACUUCCCGUGAGUCAGGUGGCCGCUCGUAAAAUCUGAUACAUUGUGCGACCAGCCGUGGCGUAUUCGUCAUGUCGAGACACACCGAAGACACGCGAUCGACGAAACGAAAGGAUUGACCCCGUGGAACGUCCGUGACCGACCAUCUUCUUUUUCUCUGCCAGGCACCUACGACUCCAGCGUUCCACGAAGUAUCGAUUUAUGGGGAACGAAACGAAUCAUCGACGCGAUGAUUUCUCAUCGGCUAAAUUCAAACAACAUCGGAUCCAGCGCGUCUUUAAGGCGCUCAGUCGAUCCAUCGGCAAUUUUUCACGCGAUUCCAAUCCACGAGGGAAGCGCGUCUGGCUGACGACGCGGAGGCGGCCCAUGCGAGCCGGCCCGCACAAAGGCGCAUCCUCGCGAGGAAAUUUAUCGCGACGGGACGACGUUUCCCGUGAAAAGCGUCGAAGAAAGAAGAUAGAAAGGAGGCGAGGAGCGCGGAGAACGCAGCAAUCUGGUGAAUAGGCGCGCCUUCCAGAAGCGUCGCGAAUCAAUUCCCGGAUUGACUCUGCACCAGGUUGCCGCGCCGAUUUUUCAGCUUUCUCCAGGCGGAAAACUCGCACGUCUCGUAUCCAUGGCAUAUUUGCCUGGUUACUGAAUGGAAAAUGGAUCGACAAGAAUGCAAUAUCGGAACUCGCGAACAAUCGUUCGAUGUCAGGUAAUAGAGACGAUAUCGAUAUGCCAAGAAUUUUUGUUACCUUUGAUCGUUGAGCGAAGCCCUUCGUGUUUAAGGUAUUUAUUUAUUUAACGAUUAUUUAACGUGCUUUACUAUCAUUAUGGUUACUAUAGUGAUCGAUACUGGACUUGUCAUUGGCGAUGUGCAAGUUAAUUAAAGCAUUCGAUUUAAAGAAACGUUGAUGGAAAUUCUUUGAUACUUUUGAUAUCACUUUGAUCAAUCAUUUUGAUUUAAAGUGUCAGUUGCAUAUAACUUGAUAUAAAAUACUUGGCAAAAGUGUUCGUGUACCCUAUCUCAAUCAACAUAGAUCAUAUCUUAUUCUACAAAAAUACUCGAACAACUAAGAAGACAAAGUUUCGCCAAGUCUUAUUAUUUCAAAGUAUAUCUAGAUUACGUUAAUACUUUGACUGCCACGUUGGUCAUAUAUAACCGGCCACAGUUUCUCCUGUGAUGCCACGGUGGUCAUUGGUGACCAAAGCUCUUGAACUUCUCACAAUUGUAAAAAUUGUAUGAAAACUGACAAUUAGGGCGUUUUGAAUAUAACCGAUAAAUAGAAGAUACUUUGAAAUAAAAAGUGGCCCAUUGAACGAUUAAACAUUUUUAUUAAAACAUCAAUAAAAAAAAAGUGAGAACAAAUCUUAUAGCUAAUGGCGCACUGCAUUUGCAUCCAUACCUUUGAGGGAUAAUCUACGAAUAUUAUUAUAAAUACACCUUAGGAAAUAAUCGUAGAUGCUUAGAAGUGUGCACAUACCUUACUAUUAUAUAUAAAAUGAGCGAAUACUGUUCACUACUAUCUUCUACACGUUUCAACAAUAUAUUCUGCACGUUUUGCUUACGACGAAAUG